AUGAGCCUAAAACGCCUGCGCUUCUGGAUCAUGUUUAGAGUGGAUUGUGUUCACCAACAAUGUUUUCUGGAAGUAUUCCUGAGCCCAUGUUGGGAUUUCCAUUAUAGUAGCAUUCCUGUAUGUGAUGCAAUGCCGUCUAAGGGCCCAAAGAUCACGGGCAUCCAGUAUGGUUUUCCGGCCUUGACCCUUACGCACAGAGAUUGUUCCAGAUUCUUUGAAUCUUUGGAUGAUAUUAUGCACUGUAGAUGAUGAUAACUUCAAACUCUUUGCAAUUUUUCUCUGAGAAACUCCUUUCUGAUAUUGCUCCACUAUUUUUCGCCGCAGCAUUGGGGGAAUUGGUGAUCCUCUGCCCAUCUUGACUUCUGAGAGACACUGCCACUCUGAGAGGCUCUUUCUAUACCCAAUCAUGUUGCCAAUUGACCUAAUAAGUUGCAAAUUGGUCCUCCAGCUGUUCCUUAUAUGUACAUUUAACUUUUCCGGCCUCUUAUUGCUACCUGUCCCAACUUUUUGGAAUGUGUAGCUCUCAUGAAAUCCAAAAUGAGCCAAUAUUUGGCAUGACAUUUCAAAAUGUCUCACUUUCAACAUUUGAUAUGUUAUCUAUAUUCUAUUGUGAAUAAUAUAUAAGUUUAUGAGAUUUGUAAAUUAUUAUUCAGACCCCCUUAAAUUUUCCACUCUUUGUUAUAUUGCAGCUAUUUGCUAAAAUCAUUUAAGUUCAUUUUUUUUUCCUCAUUAAUGUACACACAGCACCCCAUAUUGACAGGAAAACACAGAAUUGUUGACAUUUUUGCACAUUUAUUAAAAAAGAAAAACUUAAAUAUCACAUGGUCCUAAGUAUUCAGACCCUUUGCUCAGUAUUUAGUAGAAGCACCGUUUUGAUCUAAUACAGCCAUGAGUCUUUUUGGGAAAGAUGCAACAAGUUUUUCACACUUGGAUUCGGGGAUCCUCUGCCAUUCCUCCUUGCAGAUCCUCUCCAUUUCUGUCAGGUUGGAUGGUAAACGCUGGUGGACAGCCAUUUUCAGGUCUGUCCAGAGAUGCUCAAUUGGGUUUAAGUCAGGGCUCUGGCUGGGCCAUUCAAGAACAGUCAAGGAGUCGUUGUGAAGCCACUCCUUCGUUAUUUUAGCUGUGUGCUUAGGGUCAUUGUCUUGUUGGAAGGUGAACCUUCGGCCCAGUCUGAGGUCCUGAGCACUCUGGAGAAGGUUUUCGUCCAGGAUAUCCUUGUACUUGGCCGCAUUCAUCUUUCCUUCGAUUGCAACCAGUCGUCCUGUCCCUGCAGCUGAAAAACACCCCCACAGCAUGAUGCUGCCACCACCAUGCUUCACUGUUGAGACUGUAUUGGACAGGUGAUGAGCAGUGCCUGGUUUUCUCCACACAUACCGCUUAGAAUUAAGGCCAAAAAGUUCUAUCUUGGUCUCAUCAGACCAGAGAAUCUUAUUUCUCACCAUCUUGGAGUCCUUCAAGGUGUUUUUUCAUGUGUCUUGCACUGAGGAGAGGCUUCCAUCGGGCCACUCUGCCAUAAAGCCCCG
ensembl:lncRNA